ACUUUCAAGCCCUGUUGUUGAAGUUGAAGAAGCUAGAUUGAGACUGUCCAGGGACAGUUUGGUUACUUGCAGUCGAACGCGGAAUGUGCUGCUGCUGGUGUUGUGGAUGGUGGUUACCACAUUGAACAAAGGGCUGUGGUUGGGGAGGUAAAUGAAAACGUGUUCCUCUAUUUCCAUUCGCAGCUGGAAUUUGGCCUGCUUCAAUCUUAAGCCGCUGCACUUCUUCCCUCAAAGUUUCAUUUAGAGCUGAAAGUUAUUCACGUACAUUUUAGUCCUAUAGUUCUAGUAUCAUAUCAAUGUACUAAGCAAGCUCAGACAAGAAAAUGGAGAAAUAAAUAAUGGCACUAACGAAUAUUAAAGUAGAUGAGUCCACCAAAAGAGAAAAGGAAGAUCAUAAAGCUUUGCAAGCCAGUGGUGCUAUAACAUAUUCAACUACUAUAAUUUUGCCAAACAUUCCCCUUAAACAGAAUCUUUAUCCCAGAGGAUGCAUUUGACAUUGAACUUAAAAAUUUCUCUGGACAAUAAUUGACUCAGUCAGAAAGAUUUUGCUUCAGUUUAUUUAAACUUUCCAGUUCAGUUCUGUUUUCUGUCUCUCUGUGUGUGAGAUAAACAAAUCCUGUUUUCUGGUUAGACUUUUCUGGUUCUUUUAGAAGACCUGUUUAGGCAAAGAAUAAUGAUUUUUCCAGGACUACAUUAAAACAAAGAGUUAAAUAUAGUAAUACUCCAAACUCAACAAAAAAUUUCUGAAGAUAGAGCUAGACUCAAUACAAAGAGCUGAAAAUUUAAACCUACAUUCAAACCAGUGGCGAAGCCACAUGGUGAUAAGGGUGGUCAUGACCACCCUUCGUCGAAAAAUUACACUGUGUACAUAGGUAAAAUAUUACGUUUUAGAGGUAUAUAACACAUAUUGAACACCUUUUGUCGGAAAUUUUUUUCACUUCUUUUAAAUUUGAACAUCCUUGGGGAAAUUUCUAGCUUCGCCAUUGAUUCAAACCCAGCCAAAGAUUGAAUAUAGGAAGAGAGCAACUGUAGUUCCACCAUAUAUAAUUAAAAAAUAGGUAUUUGAAAAAAAUGUCUCCUCUGACAUGGGUAUAAAGGAUUGUGUAGGUGUGUAAAGAGGUGGAAGGCGUAUGGGGGGAGGGGGAUGGUGGAGACUCUGAGCAUCAGGGAUGAUCGGUCUGAGGUGGAAAUGAAACACAUAAGACAAAAAGAGAAAGAAGAAGAGAUGGAUAGCAGAGCACAAAAGUGACAGUAGUAUACAUUUGUUAAGAACAGCAUUGUGUUUUACCAAUCUCAUUAGCUGGUACAGUGAAACCCUUGUUUUUCUUUAAAUGUGAUUGCAGAAAACAAAUGUAUUAAAGUGCCAUAUUAAAUGUGAUUGCAGAAAACAUAAUCAGAAUGUUUCUCAAGAUGCUCUGUUUUUGGAGGAUUUUUACAUAAUUUUGUUUAUUCUUAGACCCAGCAGACACUCCUGCCCUUUUUCUUUGUUAUAUUAACUUUAAUGCUCUUCCGUGCACAAUUUUCUUUGAGACCAGACUGUAAGCUUGAAAAUUUAUAGUAUUAAAUUAUAGUAAAGGCAUACCAUCUCUAAGAUGUGCUUGUUGUUCCAAAGCUUGCAACCGAAAUUUGAGUUCUUUGUUUUCAGCAGCUAUUCCAGAAGUGUCUCUCUGCAUCAACAGACAAAAAUAGCGUGAAAAGACGGUUUAAAAGUUUUACAUACUUCACUUUGUGGAAAUGACCCUCUGUUGGUUUUAGCAACAAUGUGUUGAUCUCUUGAGAAUGUUACAUCCAGCAAUAUAUUUAUAAUGCCAGCCAAUACACAUUUAUAAAAACAAAUAUUGACAAUAGCCUUUGUGGGCACACAGCAAAUAUGCAUCAUGUGGAAAUAUCUUAUUAUAUGUUAGUCCCAAAAAAGAAAAUAAGAGCAAAGGGUUGAAAAGCACCAUUAAGCCAUUAUGGCCAAUAAAUAGGUCAAAAAUUGAGGUUGGACAGUAGCUCGCAUGGUGCGAGCCCCUCAUCCUUUACCAUUUGGCGAGAGAUCGGAUCCCACCUAUGUAAAAUUACCCUCCCCUUUCCCCUCCCCCUAAUAGUAAUAAUAUUAAAAAACAGGUCAAAAUGGAAGCUUUACUAGUACAAACUAGAUACUCAUGAUGCAGUUAAAGUAAAAUACAUACAAAUCAUUCGGACAUCAAAAGAAGAAAACAGUAAGAGUAAUAGAGUAGCAUACUGAUGCAUUGUUAACAAGUGCAAUGGUACAACUGCCGAGUAUUAACUUAGGUUCCACCAGAGAGUUGGUACUAGCAGCCACAAUGAAUUCUUCCUCUGAUAUUGGAAACUGCUAGACCAAGAUUAUACUGUGGAAUAAUUAACUUAUGAAGACUAUCCUAGACAAAAGACGUUCACUUUUUAGCACCAUCGAGAGGUGCUUCCACUUAGAAACACCUGAUUGCAGGACAGACUAGUGGGUGAAAAUGAAAAGACAGAGGAACUGUUUGCACCAGCACCCUACAAACUUUCAAAGUGUAAUGACCUAGGCAUAAGUAGAUAUUUGAACAGCAAAAGAUUGGAGCGACACUAAGCUAGUGUUUGGCCAUAGAUUCCCAAAUUUGUUUUGAAAAAUCUGAUUUGAGUGAAGUUUGAUUUGAAGAUGAAAAUGUGUAUGGACAUCAGUUUUCAAAACAUAUUUCCCAAAUUUAUUUUGGAAAAACGUGAAACAUGAUUAUACCCACAAGUUCUAAAAACUAUAACAAAUACCCAACAGUACCAUUAUCAAUAACAUUCAUUAUAUUAUCGCAAAUUAUAGUCCUGAACAUAAAUAAAUUUGGUACAAAAUUAUUUUUUUUAUAAUGAAUUACAUGAUACCAAGAAGACGAAGCAACAUUGUUACAAAAUAAUAAAUGGUGGGCUCUUUUAUAAAAUACAAAAGUUUGGGGCAAUUUUAAAAAAAAUGUAAUAGUGAUAUUUUGGCCCAAAACCAGCUAUUGAGCUGGUUUUGGGAUUUUGGAUAGGCAAAAUCUAUGGCCAAACAUGUGUUUGCCAAAUAAAACCCAAAUUUAUUGUGGCAAAAUCUAUGGCCAAACGGGUCCUAAAACUUGAAUGGCAUGACAAACAAAGCUUGUUAGUUGUUCCGCAGCUUCUUUUACAACAUCUGAAUUUGAGUUGAGGCCAAUAUAUGAUAGAAGCAACUGAUAAAUAAUUACUUGGAUAUCCUUUAAAGUGAAUACAAACCUAAGAUGAUACAGCAAUAGUAAAUUCUAGACCCAAAUGAAACAGUGCAAAUUUCCAAAUAAAUCAACAGAAGCAAUUGCAUUCUUUACACAUACCAGUUCUUAAAAAGUAGAACACAACAGAAGAGCUAACAUGCAAACUAAAAAUGUUGGCCAUAUCAUUUACAUUGGGUACAAAUUGUAUAGAAAAGUCGACCAGCAGAAAAGAUGCUUGAAACUUGAAAGAAUAUACGCAAAAGCUCCAGAUAUAUGGCAACUUUUCUGUCAUAGCUGGGGUUACAAAAACCCCAAUCUUGGUUUCCAAGUCAUACAACAAGCCCAUUUCUCACUUAUCAGGAAAAAAAAAAGCCCAAUUCUCCAGAAACAAAAGUCUCAAUCUUUUCCACAUUCAAGAAUUCAAUUGGAAGAGAGUUCAAACUAUCAGUUCGAGUUACUUAUUCAAUAAGUUCUAUACAAUCACUUACUCCACAAAAGAAAAUUAGGUCAUUAUCAUUGAUCAUACUUCUUUAUCAGUUACUUCUUUAUUUGAUUGCAGAGGGUAUAUGCAAAUUUUGGAGCUCUUCACUAAAUGGGUUAGUCGAUGUAAGGCUAUUUAAUCUUAGCCAACUAACUCCGUCUUUUCGUUUCGAAAUGUUCCUCUGGGUAGUAAUUUGAUCGACCAAUUGUUUGACCAGUAGUUUGAGGUGAAAAUGAAAAAAGGGCAGCCCGGUGCACUAAGCUUCCGCUAUACGCAGGGUCAAGGAAAGGCCGGACCACAAGGGUCUAUCGUACGCAGCCUGCAUUUCUGCAAGAGGUUGUUUCCAUUGAGGUGAAAAUGACUUUUUUCUUAAAUAUACAAUCAAGAUCAAGGGCAUCAGGUGAAUUGAGCCAAUCGUCACUUCGUUUAGACAUCAAAUAAAGCUGAGAGCCCUUGGUGAUGCUGUGACUUUGAUGGAUGAAUACAUUGUAUUAAAGGUAUGUUGCUAAACACAAGAGGCUAUUCAACAUGUAAGAUUACUUUAGACAACAUAAUUUCAUAAAGUAGAUGAAUGUCACAUGUAUACUUCUGAAAAAAUUUCAGACCUGAAGAACUGUGAUCUGUGCAGAUAGAGUGGUGGCUUCAGUCUGCAGAGUCUGCACUUUCCUCUCUAGCUCACCAGUAUAACGAGUUUUUCGCUCCUUAGAACGUGCAGCAGAUUGUCUAUUUGCUAGAAUCCUGUAAAAUUGCACGAAAAAAUAGCUCUAUUUAAAAGCUGAAACUUGCAAUUUGGUUUUAGAGUUCUUAUCAAACAAAAGCAUACUAUUAUUUUGAGAAAAGAAAAGAGAAGACCAAAAGUAAAUGCUGCCAUGAGAUCUAAUAAAGAAACAAUGCAAUUAUGUCCUUUUGUAAGAAAACUUUCAAAUUCCAAAAGUUGAAAAAGAUGCUUUGUACUUAAUCAAUUCCAAGUUUAAUCUUCAUUCUCUAAACAUUCAGCAGCUUAAAACAUUACAGCCUCCUUCUAUUUGGCUCGAUAUGAAGCGGUAUCACCAUGAAAGGUGCAAUAGCAUCUCUUCCUCAACACUGUAGCUUGACUUCUCUGUUAGGGGGCUACUAGUUAGACUGCAAUCAACUAGUUUGUUUUUUUCUUCUAAUAUGCAGAUGAGAAAGAAAGCCAAAACCCAAGAACUGCAACUACCAUCUACUUCAUGAAUCAUAGCAAGUAAAAGUCUUUAUUGACAGCUGAAGUUAUGCUACUUAGGCACUCCAAAGAAACAACAAAUAACUUAAAAACCAAGAACUGCAACUACCGUCUACUUUUCACCAUUUUCUCACCAUAAACCAUUUCAUAACGAAUUUAACUAACCCAAUUAAAGGUUUCAGAACACAUUUUUCCUUCAUCGCUUCUGGAAAGAAAAAAAUUAAGCCCAACAUGAUUCCAACUUCAAGCCUAGACCAAAAAUGGCAAAAAACAAAUAAAUUACAACCUAAAAUUCUAACACUGGAUUAAACGUCCAAAAAGAGGACAAAAAGUAAAAGAAGAUGUAACCUUUUGGCUCUCUUGGGAUCAAUCAGGGACAGCUCAGCAAGCUUAUCAGGAGCCAUAGCCUUCUUCACAGAAAGCGAUUCAGACUCAAAAUCAAAAGACCCAUCCAUGGAAUUGCUAUGCCUAUGACGUGGGCCACCACCCAUCAUCUUAUUCUCCGCCGCCGCAGCACCAAAGUCCAGUCCAUCGAAAAAAUCAGCAUCCACAGAGAGACUACGGUAGUGGGCCAGCGGCUUAGGGUUAUUAUCGGAAGGCCCAGCUGAUAACGCCGGCCCAGUUGACGAAGAAUCAGCCGAAUUUGCAGGCUGCUGCUGCUGCAUGAGGGACGGCGCCUGAACAUCGAGGUUGAAGUCUGUAACGACGUCGUCUAAGAGGAUGUCAUCGUCGAAGUUUGGAAACCGGAAAAAGGUUUCGGAUUGGGCCCUGCGAUGACGUGACCCACGGGUCGGAGUAUCCUGCAUCUGGUCAAGGUCAGUUUGACCUGAAAGGAAU
rnacentral:lncRNA from 1 species